rnacentral:rRNA from 1 species
AUUGAACGCUGGCGGAAUGCUUUACACAUGCAAGUCGAACGGUAGAGGGGGCAACCCCUCGAGAGUGGCGAACGGGUGAGUAAUAUAUCGGAACGUGCCCAGUCGUGGGGGAUAACGUAGCGAAAGUUACGCUAAUACCGCAUACGAUCUAAGGAUGAAAGCGGGGGAUCGCAAGACCUCGCGCGAUUGGAGCGGCCGAUAUCAGAUUAGGUAGUUGGUGGGGUAAAGGCUCACCAAGCCAACGAUCUGUAGCUGGUCUGAGAGGACGACCAGCCACACUGGAGCUGGGACACGGUCCAGACUCCUACGGGAGGCAGCGGUGGGGAAUUUUGGACAAUGGACGCAAGUCCGAUCCAGCCAUUCCGCGUGCAGGAUGAAGGCCCUCGGGUUGUAAACUGCUUUUGUACGGAACGAAAAGGUCUCUCUUAAUACGGGGGACUCAUGACGGUACCGUAAGAAUAAGCACCGGCUAACUACGUGCCAGCAGCCGCAGUAA